UACGAAGGGGGCUAGCGUUGCUCGGAAUCACUGGGCGUAAAGCGCACGUAGGCGGCUCUUUAAGUCAGGGGUGAAAUCCUGGAGCUCAACUCCAGAACUGCCUUUGAUACUGAGGGGCUUGAGUCCGGGAGAGGUGAGUGGAACUGCGAGUGUAGAGGUGAAAUUCGUAGAUAUUCGCAAGAACACCAGUGGCGAAGGCGGCUCACUGGCCCGGUACUGACGCUGAGGUGCGAAAGCGUGGGGAGCAAACAGG
rnacentral:rRNA from 1 species